GUGUUGAAAUCGUUCCACAGGGAGGCUGGCCCAUGUUGACUCUACAAGGUGUUGAAAGCGUUCCACAGGGAGGCUGGCCCAUGUUGACUCCACAAUGUGUUGAAAUCGUUCCACAGGGAGGCUGGCCCAUGUUGACUCCACAAGGUGUUGAAAUCGUUCCACAGGGAGGCUGGCCCAUGUUGACUCCACAAGGUGUUGAAAUCGUUCCACAGGGAUGCUGGCCCAUGUUGACUCCACAAGGUGUUGAAAUCGUUCCACAGGGAUGCUGGCCCAUGUUGACUCUACAAGGUGUUGAAAUCGUUCCACAGGGAUGCUGGCCCAUGUUGACUCUACAAGGUGUUGAAAUCGUUCCACAGGGAGGCUGGCCCAUGUUGACUCUACAAGGUGUUGAAAUCGUUCCACAGGGAGGCUGGCCCAUGUUGACUCUACAAGGUGUUGAAAUCGUUCCACAGGGAGGCUGGCCCAUGUUGACUCCACAAGGUGUUGAAAUCGUUCCACAGGGAUGC